UAGGGAAUCUUCGGCAAUGGGGGGAACCCUGACCGAGCAACGCCGCGUGAGUGAAGAAGGUUUUCGGAUCGUAAAGCUCUGUUGUUAAGGAAGAACGAGUGUGAGAAUGGAAAGUUCAUACUGUGACGGUACUUAACCAGAAAGGGACGGCUAACUACGUGUCAGCAGCCGCGGUAAUACGUAGGUCCCGAGCGUUGUCCGGAUUUAUUGGGCGUAAAGCGAGCGCAGGCGGUUAGAUAAGUCUGAAGUUAAAGGCAGUGGCUCAACCAUUGUAGGCUUUGGAAACUGUUUAACUUGAGUGCAGAAGGGGGGAGUGGAAUUCCAUGUGUAGCGGUGAAAUGCGUGGAUAUAUGGAGGAACACCGGUGGCGAAAGCGGCUCUCUGGUAUGUAACUGACGAGGAGGCUCGAAAGCGUGGGGAGCGAACAGG
rnacentral:rRNA from 1 species